UCUCCGUUGGUGAACCAGCGGAGGGAUCAUUACAGGACUCGCAAGACUCCUACAACCCUGUGAACUUAACUAUAAGCACGUUGCUUCGGCGGGUGUCUCGGAGGGGGUUCUCCCUCCCCGAGACGCUAAACCCGCCGGCAGCCUACUAUACUCUGUCUCUUUGCGUUGGCAUCUCGAGUACAAUCAAACAAGUUAAAACUUUCAACAACGGAUCUCAUGGUUCUG
rnacentral:misc_RNA from 1 species